rnacentral:sRNA from 1 species
UGUCUUAACGUGGAUGCGACUUUUUACCC